rnacentral:rRNA from 1 species
CGCUCUAGACUAGUGGAUCCCCCGGGCUGCAGCCCAAUGUGGAAUUCGCCCUACGCCCUCGGGGCGCGGCGGGCGGGGCGGGGGCACGGGGGGCCUACGGGAGGCAGCAGUGGGGAAUCUUCCGCAAUGGACGAAAGUCUGACGGAGCAACGCCGCGUGAGGGAAGAAGGCCUUCGGAUCGUA